rnacentral:ncRNA from 1 species
GCAAUGACAAUGGGAAGCAAGGCUGUAAGGCGGAGCGAAUCCGGAAAGAUUGCCUCAGUUCGGAUUGUUCUCUGCAACUCGGGAACAUGAAGUUGAAAUCGCUAGUAAUCGCGGAUCAGCAUGCCGCGGUGAAUAUGUACCCGGGCCCUGUACGCACCGCCCGUCACACCCUGGGAAUUGGUUUCGCCCGAAGCAUCGGACCAAUGAUCACCCAUGACUUCUGUGUACCACUAGUGCCACAAAGGCCUUUGGUGGUCUUAUUGGCGCAUACCACGGUGGGGUCUUCGACUGG